rnacentral:rRNA from 1 species
UGCCAGCAGCCGCGGUAAGACAGAGGGUGCAAACGUUGUUCGGAAUUACUGGGCGUAAAGCGCGUGUAGGCUGUUACGCAAGUCGGAUGUGAAAGCCCAGGGCUCAACCCUGGAAGUGCAUUCGAAACUGCGUGACUGGAAUCUCGGAGAGGGUAGCGGAAUUCUGGGUGUAGAGGUGAAAUUCGUAGAUAUCCAGAGGAACACCGGUGGCGAAGGCGGCUACCUGGGACGGAACUGACGCUGAUGAACGAAAGCUAGGGUAUCAAACGGGAUUAGAUA